CAAGAGAUAUAGGAGAGUUUUUCAGAACUACUUUUGAAGCGAACAGCUUAAAUAAGAAACAAACUGAUCAAAACGUUAAAAUUACCCUUUAAUAUAAAAUUCUUCUUUUUUUUUUUUUCUUUUUUUUUUAUAGCUCGAUGGGACAUGAGAUGGCCUUUGAUGCAGCUUUGCAGUUUAGAAGUAUUAAAACAGGCUGAUUUGAACUCUGUUGGAGGAAGACGCAGGGUUUAUCCACAUUCAUUUGCGCUCGCUGGAUAAAGUGGAAUACAAAGUACAGUGGUACAGUCAUACUGUAGUUUUAGAGGCGUGAUGAUCAUGUCAAGCGGCAGACAGUCGCCGCCUGAUGACAUCUACCAUCUGUUAUCAACAGAUGAUGGGGAUUACUGCAGCCACUGAGGCAUUUUUCUAAUGUGUUAAGUUCCAGGUCUCAGAGUGUGAAUGUUUUAUAUUACAAAAGAAUUACUUAUAGUUUAUUCACCUAGUUGCUGC